GACGAACGCUGGCGGCGUGCUUAACACAUGCAAGUCGAACGGAAAGGCCCUGCUUUUGUGGGGUGCUCGAGUGGCGAACGGGUGAGUAACACGUGAGUAACCUGCCCUUGACUUUGGGAUAACUUCAGGAAACUGGGGCUAAUACCGGAUAGGAGCUCCUGCUGCAUGGUGGGGGUUGGAAAGUUUCGGCGGUUGGGGAUGGACUCGCGGCUUAUCAGCUUGUUGGUGGGGUAGUGGAUGACCAAGGCUUUGACGGGUAGCCGGCCUGAGAGGGUGACCGGGCACAUUGCGACUGAGAUACGGCCCAGACUGCUACGGGAGGCAGCAGUGGGGAAUAUGGCACAAUGGGCGGAAGCCUGAUGCAGCAACGCCGCGUGCGGGAUGAUGGCUUUCGGGUUGUAAACCGCUUUCGCAUGUGACGAAGCGUGAGUGACGGUAAUGGGUAAAGAAGCACCGGCUAACUACGUG
rnacentral:rRNA from 1 species